rnacentral:rRNA from 1 species
UACGUAGGGUGCGAGCGUUGUCCGGAAUUACUGGGCGUAAAGAGCUCGUAGGUGGUUUGUCGCGUUGUUCGUGAAAACCGGGGGCUUAACCCUCGGCGUGCGGGCGAUACGGGCAGACUGGAGUACUGCAGGGGAGACUGAAAUUCCUGGUGUAGCGGUGAAAUGCGCAGAUAUCAGGAGGAACACCGGUGGCGAAGGCGGGUCUCUGGGCCGAUAUUGACGCUGAGGAGCGAAAGCGUGGGGAGCGAACAGG